rnacentral:rRNA from 1 species
ACGUUACCUACACGAAGAAGACACCGGCUAACUCCGUGCCAGCAGCCGCGGUAAUACGGAGGGUGCGAGCGUUAAUCGGAAUUACUGGGCGUAAAGCGCAUGCAGGCGGCCUGUUAAGUCAGAUGUGAAAGACCCGGGGCGUUAACCUCGGAAUUGCAUUUGAAACUAGGCAGGCUAGAGUCUUGUAGAGGGGGGGUAGGAAGUUUCAGGUGUAGCGGUGAAAUGCGUAGAGAUCUGAAGGAAUACCAGUGGCGAAGGCGGCCCCCUCGGACAAAGACUGACGCUCAGAUGCGAAAGCGUGGGGAGCAAACAGGAUUAGAUACCCCUGGUAG